CAUAAAACAAACGGUCAGACUUUGGGUCGGGGCUGUUUCUAGUAAAAGGGAGUUCCCGUUGUCUUAACUCACCCGGGAUUGUUUGCCGCGAGAGGCAGCCGUUUAAUCUGAAACACAGACAGAAAUAAACUGCGGCCGUGGGUCCCCGCCUGCCUGGGCUGAGCCCGACUUUGACAUUCUAAGCGCUGUGAGUACCGAGUGGCCUGGAUGGCUUGAGGCCAAACGGUAAUGUUUCCUUCUGCUGUUGUUGAGAAAGGCAUUCAGGAAAACACUUGAGCACAAUACGGGCCUUCCUGUUCCGCCAGGCGGGCCUGCGAACCACCCUGCAAACGUGGAGCCAGUGAAUCAUCCCUGAGAAAGGGGAGCUUCCCUCUCCUCUGUCGGAGGCCUUCUCCACGGCAGCCCCGGGCACGCUGCCACGCCGUGGACCCAACGAGCCCCCGUUUUCAAGAACCCAUCUGCCACCUCCCCCGCACCGUGGGAUUCGCCCCACUCGCAAAGUCCGGGUUUCUGCCGGGAAAUGUCACCCACGUGUUUCUCGCUCGGGAAAGGCAUCGGCCGCGAUGCAGCCGAAAUCCUAAGGGGUGCACGGUGGCGUCCUGCUGCAAGCGAUGGAACGUAGAAAGAUGUCAGACGGAGUGAGCACACAAGGUCCCUUGACCAAAAGCUAAACCAACGGACAUUCAGUUUUGAAGGGUCACGGGACCUGCCGCUCCAAAAUAUGCCACCGGAGGAUAGCCGUUGUUUCGAGCCGCAGGCGCUUGAACAACAGCAAAGGCAAGGAAAGGCCUUCUCUGAACUCUCAUCUGCCUAAAGACGCAUCCUCCAGGAGCAAGUCAGUUGGUACAAAUUUCUGCCCAGGAAGUUCAUCCCCCGAGGAAGGUGGAGUCUUGUUCCAGGGCAGGACACUGUAGGCGGACCUCACACCCAGGCAAUCUCCAUCCCAAACCAUCUUUUUCCAGAAAUCAUUUACUCUCCCCGAAGAGGCCUGCCUCUUCCCUCCCCUUUUCCCUGUUAAGGUGGUUAUUUAAGCCUAAAUUGUAAGCCGCCUCUCUGAAUUACUCAUUUUCCCUGGGUGUCUCACGUUUAUGUAUGAGGGCUACAUGUUACUGAUAAACUUGUUUUUCUCUUAUUGGUCUUUUGGUCUUUUAUUGCAGGGGUCUCAGCCAAGAGCUCAGGAGGGUAGAGGGAAAUUCAUUUUUUCUCCUGUACAG
rnacentral:lncRNA from 1 species